CGCGGUGGCGGGCCGGGAGGAGGCGCGGCGGCGGCGCACCGCCUUGCGCCGCCUCUCCCCGGCAUGGAGCCGUUCGGGGAUGGCCACGGUGGUAUGCUCGAGGAGGCGAUGCACACGAGCGCACGGGCGCAGGCAGCGGCGACCCGCCACCAUCUCUGCGCCGGCGGGGCUUGGGAUUUCCGGUAAACGGCGCCUUCCCCGCCUCGUCCUCCCCUGCCUCAGCACCCGACGAGGACGCCGCCGCGCUGGUCUUGGGGUUUCUCCCCGGCGUGGUCUGCAUCUUCCCCGCCAAGAUCCUUGGUGGAGUUCUCUCCCCACUAGCAGCACGCGAGACCCUACAGAAGGGGCGGGUGGAGGCAGCACGGCACCGGGCUCGAAGCUCGUGAAGAGGAGAGGGACGGAGGUGGGUGGAGGCCACGAUGCACAGCAGCAACACGGAGGAGGCUAGCAGCAGCGCCACUGCGAGCUCCUUCUCUCGCCGCAGCUCCGAAGCUUGGCAUCCCCCGUUCAGCCACAGGCUGCAGUGCCUCCCACCCGUCUGGACGCGCCGCCGCAUUGCUCUGGUAGAGAAAGAGGAGCAGGAGGAGCUGCGCGACCAGGACGACUCCAAUGACCAUGCAUGGCGCCUCCGCCGGAGCACUACACACUUCUUUCUUCUCGCUACGGUUGGAUGUCUAGCAGAUUCACUAAUAGCGAGCACCACCAUUUGUGUUCAUGACCUGCAUGGCUGCUGCAGGUCACAGAGUAAAUUGCAAGGUGCAUUCAGCAACAUGAAGGGUAUUUAGGUGGUCUUGGUCCAUUGAUGAGUUACGGGGGAUCACAUAGAUGAAAAUUUGACCCUUGACAAUUUCACAUGAAGCAUGGGACUUAACAUAUUUGAUGAUGCUUGGAACUUUGAGAUCAGUUCAGAUGUUACUGGGAUAGAUGAAUAGCCCGAAACUUUGAGAGGAUGCUAUGGAUCUUCUCCCAAUCCUAGGGAAUUAUGUUGGUUUAAGCAUUAUAGAUAUUGAAAAGAUAAUGCCAAUCCACGAAUGUGUGCUUCCUAUGCUGCAGAAAUGUACACAAACUUAAUGGCCUCAGAGAUGGCUACAAAUAGGAGACAACCGUUGGAGUAUCUAUGUAUUCGUCUCACUCUUGUGGCACCACCAUGGUGGCAUUGGUUAAUGACUUGGCCAGACAUGGCCGGAUUUUUGGGUCAUGAUACAGAUAUCAGUGAGUGUCUAAUCGUUGUGCUUUGCUCCCAACAGUAUAGUGGAAUUUUUUGCCUGGUAAUGAAGGAAAGAGCACGAGCAGCAAUCUGACUCAAGUUUGGUGAUUUCCCCCUAAAAAACAGAGGCCUUGAAGGCCAUCAGGAUGUAGAUGCAGGAUAUUACAACAUCCUGGACAAAUCUCUCUUUGGGUAACAGUUCGUUGCAGCGUAUGAAGUGUACACGCAGAUAUCGCUGCAGGUCAACAAUAAGGAAGCGAAGGGUGGAUGAGGGACAUGGAGAACGGAGACUGUUGCGACUCUGAGGAGAGGAUGCCGACGCCGUGAUGCGGCAGGCGAGGAUACCGCAUGUGUUCUUCAAGAUGCUGAUUUUCUUCCAUGCCCUCGACACGGGUGCAUGAUUCCUCUUCCAGUGGCGACGCGGCCAAUAGCGAUGGCCUUGACUUCUGCCUUCGUGGCUUCUUCACUACCACUUGCGCCAGCCAGGGUGGCCGUCGUUUAUGAGGAAGGCUGAUUGACAAGGGCGAGGUGGUGCGGCGGAGGUUCCUUGAAAGACGGUGAUGAUCCAGAGCAUCUAUCGGAGCUAUCUUUGCCUGUUAUUUCGGAUUUUUUUAUUCGAUGAAAAGUGACCAGUAGCAGAGGGACAUUUCUAAUGCCCACUGCCAUUUGAUGAAACACAGGUAUACAAUCUCUUUUCGCUAUUCCAAAGUUCAUCUUCAGGUACAUUUUUCAGAUAUAUCAGGAUGGUGGAACUGGAUGCAACCUUAUGUCUUAGGCUGAUCAGAACUCAAGAAACUAGCAGACCGCAAUGGAAAUUCGGUCUUUGUGCUAUCCGAUUCUUCCUGGAUGUUUCUCCUAUGUUGCCAUGUCCAUGACUAUGCAGAUUAUUGUGUCACUUUUGUUGAGUUGUGCGGAUGGUUACCAUCCAGGAUCAUCGGCAGAUGUUGAGUAUAGAAGUGUUAUUUGGACUCACCAAAAAAGAUUUGUUCCUUCAAUUAUUAUUGUAUGUAGCUCCAGCCUUUUGUUAACCGGUGAUGGAUCGAGAGGCAGAAGAGUUUGGGCCACUCACAGUGAUGGAACGCUACAACACAUGUGUUAAUCUGGAAGUGGAUGAUUAGCAAAUUCCUGCAGAAUCGUUCCAGAAGGGUUUCAAUGUUCCAUUAUAAAUUUGAGAACAUUUUCAGAGAAUGCACACAUAAGUACCAUCAUUUGAGUUCUAUAAUGUACCUAUGGUAGUAAUAUGCUUAAGUAAUGUUUUGUACCCAUGAUAUUGCUGGUCUACUUUAUUUAUGUAUAAAUUAGUUCGUACUUGCUGCCACGACUAUUCACUGAGUAAGAAAAAUGGUUGAAUGUAUAUGUAUAAAAUCGACAUCUGUUUUGUUA